rnacentral:rRNA from 1 species
GACAGAGGAUGCAAGCGUUAUCCGGAAUGAUUGGGCGUAAAGCGUCUGUAGGUGGCUUUUCAAGUCCGCCGUCAAAUCCCAGGGCUCAACCCUGGACAGGCGGCGGAAACUACCAAGCUGGAGUACGGUAGAGGCAGAGGGAAUUUCCGGUGGAGCGGUGAAAUGCAUUGAGAUCGGAAAGAACACCAAUGGCGAAAGCACUCUGCUGGGCCGACACUGACACUGAGAGACGAAAGCUAGGGGAGCAAAUGGG